rnacentral:rRNA from 1 species
UAGGUAGGUGGCGAGCGUUGUCCGGAUUUACUGGGUGUAAAGGGAGCGUAGGCGGGUAAGCAAGUUGAAUGUUAAAUCUAUCGGGUCAACCGAUAGCUGCGUUCAAAACUGCAUAUCUUGAGUGAAGUAGAGGUAGGCGGAAUUCCUAGUGUAGCGGUGACAUGCGUAGAUAUUAGGAGGAACACCAGUGGCGAAGGCGGCCUACUGGGCGUUUACUGACGCUGAGGCUCGAAAGCGUGGGGAGCAAACAGG